UUGAGUAGAAUUUCAACAAAGGAUAUGAUGAAAAGAAUGUUGUACAAAAUCUGCACCAAGCUUGCUUUUUAAGAUAUCCAAUGAAAGUGGAAAACUACGGAUUUUGUCUGAUUAUGUGCAGGUUUUGCAAUUCAUUGUCCAAAGAAAUAGUACAAAUACAGUAAAGUUUGUGCAGAUGAAGUAAUCUAUUCACUUGGUAUGUUGGCGGCUUAAUGGUUGGCGAAGUGGUGGUUGAUGGCAGUGGGUUCAUUGGAUCUCUGCACUGCUCGGAGUUCCCGCAGCUGAUUUCAAACUGGAUUCCACUGAAUCCAACCUUGUUCCCAUCCUCAGCAAUCGUACUCGCUCUAAGGACCUGAGAAGGAAAGAGGAGGAUGUCACUGACACCAGACCAUUUUCGUAAAGUAGGAACAAGGGUUUUGCCAUCUUCAUCACCCUUUUUUACGCUGCGGCCUGAGAGGCUAAGCUUGAUUCAAGAGGGUCUGAGUAGAACUCAAAUUGUCAGGACAAAGAUAAAGAGGUCAACGUGCAUGUGAAUUUUUUCCAGAUUUAAUUUAUUCACUCUUUCAAUGUUUUUACAGUAAAUUAAUUAUAGAUUUCUGUUUUUAGGUUUUAAUUCACAAGCACGGAAAUUUAUAUUAAGGUAGGAAAGUUGAAAUCUAUGAAAAAAUUAUGCAAACAUGUUUCCCACUUUGGUUGGGCCUAAAUUUGCCAGUAAAUCAAUAAUGUUACAAAUGAGGACUCCAUUUGGGAACUCAUCUUUUCGAUUU